GGCGGGGCUGCGCAUUUCCGAAAACAGCUCGUAGCUUCGCACUAUCCCUUUCCCUCCUGCAGGGAAGCGCGUCUUCCUGCAGGCGCCCCCUUUUCCUUCUCCACGCUUGUCCGCCUUUUCCCCCUUUGCAGCUGUGGUGCGCCCCCGUUUCUUCCCCCAUAUUUGUCGAAUAUCUGACAGUCACGUACUUCUUGUGGUUCCAUUCCAACUUCUGCUUCUCUGUAUAGCAAAGUUCCUGCGUCUAUUUAGCAAAAAUGAACAGUACUCUAGUGGCAUCGUCGAGACCAGCGAGACUGUAUUCCCGGAUAAGCCUUCGUGGACUGGCGUUCUCAGCAAAAGCAAGAAGUCUUUUUUUUUAUUUUUUAAGACUGCGGGAGCAAAGGGGAGGCUAAGGGGAAAUUCGAGGCGGAUUUUUGAGAGGCAGUAGAAAGGGUGAGCUGAGCUUUGCGACGGGGUGCGUGUGGCAUGCCUGUGCGGGCAAUAUCAGUUCAUGUCUAAAUCCACUAUUUUUAGAAUGUUCAUCCACAUCAGUACCAAUAUUGUACCGAUUAUUUUUCCUGGUUCAUCUUGCCGGACAUAGGGAGAAACUGCAGCGCUCAGAUUUUCAGAUCAGGCCAGUUUCUAUUCAUAUGGAGUGUUGAAUCAGUAAUAAAUUGGCUUUUCCUAUAUUAAUUUCAGUUUCCUUUUAGCUUUCCAUGUGCGGUACUGUAAAUAAAAUUUGAUCGGCUACUACAUUGGACCACCAUGGGAUUUGUUGCUGUUCCACCACAGAACCAAGCACAUGAAUCCUGAGCACAGUGGAACUUCGGCCGGAAAGCCAUGGAAUCCUCCUACAGUAAUAGUCGGAGCCCGUGGUGAGCUACUGCGCUGGCAAAUGAAUGCACAAGACAUGGCAAGCAUGACUCCUGUGCCAGAAUAUGGGGCUGCAAUUACAAAUAAUCUGAAGACACAGAACAUCCAUUAGUGUUGCAGUACUGGAAACAACAAUCUCAAUUUCCAAAUGCAGCACAAUAACAUUGCACAAGGGUUUUGAGUAGAAGUGCCGUGUGUGUGUGUGUGUGUGUGUGCACGUGCGCACAUGAGUGUGUGUGGGAGAGAGAGAUGGGGGUAUAGAUAAUUCAGCAAUGGUAUGCUAAGGGAAUUUCUAUUACUACAAAACCAGUUAUGUAAAUGCUGCCUUAAUAGUUUGAUAAUGAGCUUUCAAGUUUGCAAUUGACCUAGCAGGACUAACCUGCUCUGUUUACCGAGUUUAGGAUGGCAUCUUGAUGCUGCUGGUUCAAGCUGUCAUCUUUCUAUGGUAUUUGCAUCAGUCUAAAAAUUGCUCCUGUAAUUAAGCAUGCAGUUAAAGUAUAAGACUCCAAGUUAGAGCAACCCACUGAACAAAACACUUUAAAUUUUGUAUGAAGCUUCUUUAGAAGGGUAACUCAUAUGAUGAGGUCUAAAUGAGGUAAGAAUACCACUGAAAGUUUAAUCAAAAUUUUAAAAAUCAUUGCAGGACCCAUUAAUUCCAAACUAUUCUUUUAAAACAGUGUGAAAAGAUAAUUUGAUGUCACAAGUUAUUCUUAUCUUCUAUUGCUGUAUUAUUAAUUUGGAGUUUUAUUAUUAUAUAAAAUAUAUUACAUUAUUAUGACUGGUAUGAGAGAUGUAAUUCACACAUACAUCUUUAAUGUUGUUGAUGGCUUUUAUCCUCAACAAUAAAGGAUGGUUUAUGUUCA